CCCAGAUGAGGGAGCCUUUGACCUGCUGGUCAAAAAUGUUACAACAAAAGAACUGUGAGCAAUCUGAAAGCGAAAGUUCCUCGCGUCUAUUUAAACGCUGGUGUGAGCAUGAGAGAGUCACAGAGCGGAGUAAACUCAGACGGCGAGGACACACAGACCGCAGGUGAGCAAGAAAUCCCUUAAUAUUUACUAAUUCAUAAGCAACUACAGGAAAAUCUUCAAAUACAAUUAUUACACAUUUAGCAGAUAUUUAAAAUGGUUUUGUCUGAUUAGUGUUGCAGUGUUUCCUAAAGAAUUAUAUUUGUUUUUCGUUCAUCCAGUAAAAAUAAUAAUAACAGAAAGAUUUUUAUUUCAUCAUGUUCAGUUUCUGUCGCGCCGUCGCGAAUACAUUGACAUGAACGGAAUGUUUCAAAAACACAUUUUAUUGUGUGCUUUCAGCGACUUACUGUAACACAUCUUGUAUUUUACACUUAUAAGCCUUUCAAAGCUUGAAAAUUAAGUGUGAAACCCUGCAACUGAUUUUUUUAUUUAUUUAUUUUUUUUAAUUUUUUUGUUGUAGAAAUAAAUAUUGUAGUAAAGCUUCCUCUUUAAUCUCUCUUUAUACUCUCUGAUAUAUAGUACUGCCUUAUUUGUCCUAAGUUAAGUUUAAUUCUGGAUGCAAAAUUCUGUUAUUUAUUUAUUUAUUUAUUUAUUUUUAAUUCCAUUUUGCAGAAUUACAACCAUGAAUGCUGUAAAUGCUGUGCAACUGUUCUUUCUGGUUUGGAGCUUUACUGCUGUCUGUCAAGCUGAUAAAGAUAUCAGUGUAAGCUGUGAUGAUGUGACUGGAUCUGUGGGGAAAGAAGUAACUCUCACCUGCAGCGUCUCACUGCAGAGCCGUGAUUGUUCCAUUAAAAUGGGUAUGUUUCGAUACCCUAAUGACUCAGUCAUCUGUAAACAAAAGCUUCCUAAAGACUCCAGCUUCACAUGCCGCUACACUCCAACUACAGCAAUGACAGAAAAAUUCAGCUUCUUUGUGCUGACAAAUUGUGGAAGAAAUACAAAAGAAUUCACUGUGGACAUAUCAGGUAUGGCAUAUGCUGUUUAUAUUUCAAAAAAUGUUUGCAAUUUACUGCCAUGUGUAUGGCCUAACUGUUGCAUGAUCAUGGUUUCUAAAUAGUAUUGCAUCUCUUGAGAUAUUACAAUCAGAAUAGUGAUGUGUAGAUUUAACUGUGAAAUCAGUUUUAUCAGAUUCUCAGGAGCAGAAGUGUUUUGUGAAGGUCUGUGUGGAGAAUCUGACUGUCUGCAGGUUGAUAGGCUGAACUUGAGUUUAUGACUUUAACACUAUCAUAAAACAUUAAACAUAAAUUCAUCUUCCAGAGUCAUCAUUACACAAAGCAGAUGUACUUGAAGAUAAAGGAUCAAAGAAUGAUGGAUCUAUGGAUGCUGUCAUCAGUACAGUUGUGGGCUUAUCUGUCAUCGUCAUCCUCAUCCUCAUCAUCAUCUUAAUAACAAUAAUUUGCAAAAAACAAUCUUUUGGGUGCGAGAAAAGGAUGUUUCUGUGUAUCAAGCAUGAUGAUGGCAACAGUAAUUGUCCUGAACAAGUGAUAUAAUAUUGAUUCAGCAAAACAAAACUAUUGACUUUUCAAGAAUGUUUUGUUUCCAGUCAAGACUUGGAGAAACUUGUUCAUGCCUUUAUCACCAGCAAGGUGGACUACUGUAAUGGUCUCCUCACCAGCCUUCCCAAGAAGACCAUUAGACAGCUGCAGCUCAUCCAGAACGCUGCUGCCAGGAUUCUGACUAGAACCAGAAAAUCUGAGCAUAUCACACCAGUCCUCAGGUCCUUACACUGGCUUCCAGUUACAUUUAGGAUUGAUUUUAAAGUACUUUUACUAGUUUAUAAAUCACUCAAUGACCUAGGACCAAAAUAUAUUGCAGACAUGUUCACUGAAUAUAAACCUAACAGAGCACUCAGAUCAUUAGGAUCGAGUCAGUUAGAAAUACCAAGGGUUCACACAAAACAAGGAGAGUCCGCCUUUAGUUACUAUGCCGCCCGCAGUUGGAACCAGCUUCCAGAAGAGAUCAGAUGUGCUAAAACACUAGCCACAUUUAAAUCCAGACUCAAAACUCAUCUGUUUAGCUGUGCAUUUAUUGAAUGAGCACUGUGUUAAAUGAUGGUCUUUUGAAAUUGUCUAUGCAAGUUCCUGUGUUCUUUGUUGGUGCGAGAAAGAGCGUGCUUUUUUGGAAUGCAUAGAGGAGGAGGGAGGACAUGGCCCAAAGGUCAGGAAAGUAACGCUGUAUAAACCCUGUGAGCUUGCCGCUCAAACGUGUCAAUGUAAAUUUGUAUUGUUUCUGUCUAUUCUUGCCGGGCUCGGAGCUCUCUCCCCGGACAGCACGCCAAAUAUGCAUAACCUUUGUUUAAUUAUAAGUAAAUGUGAACUCGUGAAACCAUAUCCGUGCUGACUGGCACGGAUCAGCACAUUAUGGAACGGUUAAGCAAAGAGAACCCGUUCGGUCCGAUAGUGGAAAAGUGGCUUAUGAAUCGCCCAUGAGGGAACGUCAUGAUUCACUUCAUCUGGAAGAGUAGACAGAAAUGCCAAAUACCUCCACUGUGUGGGAGCACAUUAAAUUGAGUGAGGACAAGACAAAGGCGAUUUGAAACUGGCCUACCUGUUCACAUCAAGUUUGAAAAAUCACCUAUUUUCUGUAAGUAGUAGCCCUACGCAUAUAGUAUAUUGUUGGUGUAAAAAAAAACGUGCUGCUUUUAUCCGCCAUGUUAAUCGGUAAUUUUACACGUUAAAAACGUGCACUUAAUUUUCUUGGAAAGUACUUGCGAAUACGGCAGCUAUAAAAAAAACAAAGUAGCCCAGCCUAAUAAUAAUUUGUCUGUAUUAAAAGUAUUGCUCUUAACAGACCUGUGUGUUUUGUAACACUAGUGCAGUGUCCGUUCUCAGAGCAUAUAAGCCCUGCCCACAUGAGGCGUGCCGCUUCUGGCUCACGCUGUUCUGCAGUUUAUUAAAAGAUGAUUAAUUCUGAAUGUGUCAUGUGUCUAUAUUGCACCAAAAUGCAACACUGCACUCCCUUCGGUCCGCAGGAACACACCCGCCAUGCAUGAAGUCAAUUAGAUGAACGGUUCUCGACAUAAUAUAAAUGCAAACAGACACACAGAGAAUCCUGCCUUUCUUAGAAAGAAGAAUAUGUCCAGCCCCUCCUACCGAAGCUUCAAAUAUUCAGUGUUGAUUACUACCGAAGCUCAAAAAUGGUAUUUGGACCAGCCCUAGUAGCAGGUUGUGAGAUAAUACUGAAUGCUCUGUUGCUUAAGUGAGUCCAGAUGAAGGGAGUUAUUUUCUCCUGUUAUUUUUUAAUUGUAUUGUUUUUUUGGUUUCGAUCACCUGAGGGAUAAGGACCAGGCAUAGAGAAAAAGCCAGGCCAGUGAAAGGUAUACACACUCGGUCCAAGGAAGGUAUCUAGUGCUGGCUGAAGGUUUCCUGAGUGUUUGUUCUUUUCAGCACGUAGAGUUAUUCAAUUUAGGUUAAACUCAAAUCUGACUCCAUUUUAUUUAAUUUAACUCCAUUGUAUUAUGACCUCGAAUUUAGGUUGGAAUGCAAAUUGGUUGUAUAUCUGUUUCUAAUUAGUAUUCUUCUGACAUUUGAUUAUUCUAGUUAAACUCUUUAUUUUAUAUUUACUGGUUCAUUCGGGUGCUCAUGUCACUAACAAGGAUACAACGUAAUCUACUAUAACUACAGAGUAAAACGGAAUAAAAUCAAAUGUAACAAUUUAUUAUCA
ensembl:lncRNA